CCCCUAGAUGUUCUGGGCCGCACGCGCGCUACACUGAACAGUUCAACAAGUCUUAACCUUGGCCGAUAGGUCUGGGUAAUCUUUGAACGCUGUUCGUGAUUGGGAUAGACCUUUGCAAUUAUGGGUCUUCAACGAGGAAUUCCUAGUAAACGCAAGUCAUCAGCUUGCAUUGAUUACGUCCCUGCCCUUUGUACACACCGCCCGUCGCACCUACCGAUUGAAUGGUCCGGUGAAAUCUCGGGACGGCGGCUUGGUCGCUUGCGUCCGACUGCUGAAACUUGAUUAAACCCUNUNAUUUAGNGGAAGGUGAANUCGUANCA
rnacentral:rRNA from 1 species